GUCUAUACCAGGAAAAUAAGGAAGGAAGGUCUAUCGAAUCAUUCAUGAGUAAUACUGUGACAAUCAAUGUUGUAGGUGAGGCUAAUCAGCCCUAGCUGAAUAAAGAAUGUUGUUAGGUCCCCAAAAUGUUUUUAUAAUUUAGGAUCUUGUAAGAACAAGAAUAUUCAGGCACCACCACAGGGCAGUAAAAAUCUGAUUUGUAUUAUUGUUUUUUAAAAUGCAUAACCUUUCUUGGGAUUUUCUCAGUCAACUAGUAAUAGCAAAGUAUAUAAACUGUGUUUACCAUAUAAUCAAGGGAUGUCCAAACCACUAGGGAGCCAACUAUCAGCUGCUCAAGAUACAAAGCAAUAUUUAAAAAACGUAUACUUUUGUAGUGCCAGUCAGUGCUUCUUUUAGACUGUGGAACACUAGCUACAAAAAAUAAAUAAUUGAGCUUAAAAUGUACCAUCUCAGAAUCUUGUUCUCUGAAUUCCAGACCGACCACCUGCUCCCUCUGUUUCUCUGAGCCCCUCACACCGUGUGUACAUCCGAGGGGAGAAAGUCACUGUCACCUGUUCUCCUCCCGGUCACUCACUAGAGAGUGGGAUUAAACAUUACAAAAAUGGAAUAGAAACCAACAGUGGAAAGGAUGGAAAGAAUAUUGAGAUAUUCCGAGUUACCCCUGGAGAUGCUGG